GGUUUUGCCAUGUUGGCCAGGCUGGUCUCAAACUCCUGAGCUCAGGUGAUCUGCCCGCCUCUGCCUCCCAACGUGCUGGGAUUACAGGUGUGAGCCACUGCGCCCGGCUUCGAAUCCAUUUUCCAAACACAUGUAGCAAUUGCGGGUCCAGAUGACUCUCGUGGGCAGCAUCCUCCAUGUGGACUCAGCCAUCCAGGUGGCCUCUAUCCUGCAGUGUCCACCUCACAGCUCUGGCACCAUCAUGGUGCAGGUAAGGGAGCCCCAGAAACGCUUCACUCUGAAGUGAAACCUUCAUCUUCUUCCAUCCACAACAGUUGCCUAGAACAUGCCCCAUGACCCCACCUAACUUCAAGGGGAGGGGAGGUGAUAUGGUUUGGAUGUGUCCCCACCCAAAUCUCACCUUGAAUUGUAAUAAUCCCCAAGUGUCAAGGGCGGGCCAGGUGGAGAGAAUUAAGUCAUCGGGGCAGUUUCCCUCACACUGUUCUCAUGGUAGUGAAUAUGUCUCAUGAGAUCUGAUGGUUUUAUAAAGGGGAGUUCCCCUGCACAAGCUUUCUUGCCUGCCGCCAUGUAAGAUGUGACUUUGCCCCUCAUUCACCUUCCGCCACAAUUGUGAGGCCUCCCCAGUCAUGUGGAACUGUGAGUCCAUUAAACCUCUUUCCUUUAUAAAUUACCCAGUCUCAGGUAUGUCUUUAUUAGCAGCGUGAGAACAGACUAAUACAGGAGGUGUUCUGUUCCCAGAAGGAGGGGAGGAGCAGAUAUGCAUGAGUACUCUAUGUUCCCAUCAUUCCUCCUUCCAGAACAUUGCCACAUCUGAG
rnacentral:lncRNA from 1 species